UACAGAGGGUGCGAGCGUUAAUCGGAAUUACUGGGCGUAAAGCGUGCGUAGGCGGUCUGUUAAGACCGAUGUGAAAUCCCCGGGCUUAACCUGGGAACUGCAUUGGUGACUGGCAGGCUUUGAGUGUGGCAGAGGGAGGUAGAAUUCCACGUGUAGCAGUGAAAUGCGUAGAGAUGUGGAGGAAUACCGAUGGCGAAGGCAGCUCCUGGGCCAACACUGACGCUCAUGCACGAAAGCGUGGGGAGCAAACAG
rnacentral:rRNA from 1 species